GCUCUGUUACACUGAAUCACAUUUCUUGCAUUUGCAGAUGCUAGUCAUGAUUGCUUCCCAGCCCCCUGCAACCUUGGUUGAGCACACAGUGAUAUGCCCUCAUAUUUGGACUCUUAUGAAUCUGUUUUUCCUCUUUUUACUGAUGUUUUUCAGAUUCUUGUUCCUUUUCUGGGCAAGUGCUGGCCAUGCCAUGGACUGCAGUCUGAGAAAGAUAUGUAAGAGAUACAGCAUCUGUAAUUUUCCUAGUAUGGCUUCAGAAAGUAGAGAAAUCUGCCAUAAUGUUGCAGAUGGUAAAGAACUGGUAAGAGGUAUUUGAGCUGUGGAUGUAUUUUGGAAGUGGCUGACAUGAUGUGAUAUACAAUUACCCUAGACUUCUAUCAUGUUACACUACACCACAUAAAAUGAUUGCACACUGUAUAUGUCUUAAUUUGCCACUUGCUACUCCUCCAAAGAUAUGAUCUCAACAGGAAACCUGUCUGCAUGUGCCCUAGACCACUCUACCCACUGGCAAGACAUCUGCCUAGAAGGUUUUAGGUUGGUCUAACAGGUGCACUGAAGCAAACACAACCCCUUUGGACAGGUUAGUCCUAUCCCCAGGACAUGCCCACAGCCUGUUGCAAUGGAGACCUGGGCACCAACAAUACCUCAGCUUGCUGCCCCAGUCCUAUGGAAGUGUUCUCUCAGUGGCACUGCUGACUAGGGAUCAAUCAUUGGCUUUGUUUCUUGGGAUGCUUUGCAGACAUUCCUUCCCCACUGCUCAGAUGCCAUGUGUAGUGGUGCUGGGUCACUGGCGUUGUGGCCCCAAGCUAGUGGUGGGACUGGGCACCCUGUGUCUUUGUGUCCUUCUGCAUGUAAAAUCACUCAAAAUUCUCUGUAUUUCUCUGGAGGCAGUUGAAUAGUGAAUAUUCUGCAUGAAAACUAGAACAUUCUCCCUUAUGCCCCUUGGCCCCUUGUUAAAAUUCACCAUUUUCCAAAGGGACAAUUUUCCUGCUGUUCUGGUUGGCUCUACCAUCACACUGUUUUGCAGUAGGUUUGAGUCAAUCUGCAUAUAACUGGACUUUCCAUGCACUUUUUCCCCAAUAUUAGAUAUCUGAAAUCCCCACUUGUAUUCAUAUUGUUAAAAAUAUAAUGAUAGGGCUCAGUAUAGCACCUAAUACAGCAGAACUUCAACUCCUUGUCACCUUAGACACGUCAUGUCAAAGCAGACUUUGACACACAGCAAUAAGGAAAUUUAUUAAGCAAAACAUAAGUUUGCAUAAAAUGGACCAAUAACUUUGAUUAGCACACGUGCUAGAAAGUUAAUUCUCGCUGAGUAAAAUGUCAGUGACCUCCUUGAUACUGAGUAGAAAAUGGCCUGCAAAAGCCAAAGCCAAAUUUUCAGCAUAAAUUUGUGUUUCAGUUAUUUAAUAACAAAUUUAAUAACAAAAUAAAAAUAAUCCAGGCGAUAAUACUACA
rnacentral:lncRNA from 1 species